AUGUCUACGGAAACAGCCGAAAAUUCCUCUUCUAAGAAAAUGUCGUUGAGCGAACAGUUUCCCAUCAAGGGAGAGCGCGAAACUCUUACCGCCUUUCUCACCAACUGCCAAAAUGCCUUAGAUUUAGCAUCACCAAGUCAAAUAGUUUUAUUAAAUAAAUAUAUUCUAUCACGCCUUGAAGGUAAAGCUCAGAUUGCGUGCUCUAAUAAAAUAUUUUCGGAUUUUAAUCAGUUGAAAUGUUUUCUUAAGCAAAAUUUCGGUGAGAGGAAGCAUUAUAAUCAUUUGUUGCUAGACUUACAAUCGUGCAGGCAAACAACAAACGAAACUGUUGCGCAAUUUGCCCUGCGUGUAGAAAGAUGCCUCACCGAUCUUCAAUCAGAAAUUUAUAAUUCUGAAUCCCUAAAGAAGGACAUAUCCGGUCGCAUCGCUAUGACCGAAGAUUUGGCAUUAUUUACUUUUAGUUUAGGAUUAAAUCCACGACUGAGUAAUAAUGUCAGAUGUAGAAACCCAAAAUCACUUAAUGAUGCUAUCAACGUGGCUCUCGAGGAGGAAAAGAUACAAAACCUCCUGUAUAAAACAUCUAUUAAACCUAAAUGUAGGAUCUGUGGUAAACCCGGGCACUCGGAUGCUGAAUGCCGGGAGAAACAAAAGCGCACAGGUCCACCAUUUACUCCUUCGGGGCCUCAACCAUCAACAUCAUUUUAUAACUCGGGGUCUCAACUUUUCUGCAAAUAUUGCAAAAACAGAGGUCACGAUAUUACUCAAUGCCGCAAAGAAAAUAUAAUAGCGAACGGCGUAAUACGUUUAAUUCCGAGAAUCGCGACCGUCCAGCUGCGAUGCAUCAUGUUACAUUCGAGCCGCCGAUAUCAUCGGCGCCGUCACCGACACCUUAUUAUGUUCCUUGUGAGAACGGCGACGACCCUGAAAACUCUUUAAACUAA